GCGCAAGUAACAAUACAUUUAUUUGAUCAUUCAAACAUACAAGUAAGUUGUAUAUGAACAUAGUCUGUCAAGAUAUGAUGGUCUGGAAGCUUGGCAAACUUCAAAGCCACAAAAUAGAAGUGACCUUUGUUUGAUGUUGAACUGUUCCUCACCAUGCACAAAUCCUUUGUCUCAACUUCAUCAUCAUGGUUGCACGUUUCAUGUCAGCUAUCCCUAGCUAUUGGCGAUUACUUGAUUAUACGAAAAUACAAUGAGCUCAAUCACCGUGAGCUCUAGCCAAUUUUAAUCCAAAAAGAUUAUUUCUAGGGGCCAUGCAGUAUCCCUUAUUUAAAGAUGCGGUACAGUCCGUAUGUAAACAAAAGGCUUUGUUUAGUAUAAUAAAUUAUCAAUACACAACAAUCAAGCUUUGGGAGAACAUAAAAUGAAAUAAAAACCUAAAUAAACUGUUUUUAUAAUAAAAAGAGGGCUCCUUGGUGCACAUGCGCAGAUCGGACCGUACCGCAUCUUUGAUAUUACUUUAAUUUAUAUUUUCUUAAAAUUGUAAUUACUCGUGUUAAUCAAGGGGAAAUAAAUUGUUGUUGCUGUUGUUGUUGUUGUUGUUGUUGUUGUUGUUGUUGUUGUUGUUGUUGUUGUUGUUGUUG